AUUGAACGCUGGCGGCAUGCUUUACACAUGCAAGUCGAACGGUAACGCGGGGGCAACCCUGGCGACGAGUGGCGAACGGGUGAGUAAUACAUCGGAACAUGUCCUGGAGUGGGGGAUAGCUCGGCGAAAGCCGGAUUAAUACCGCAUACGCUCUUCAGGAGGAAAGCGGGGGACCGUCUAGAAACUAGGCACUAGAGACUGGAAACUAGAUUAAUUGAGAUGCGGCUUUGCCGCGCCUUAUCAAUCUAGUCUCCAGUUUCUAGUCUCUAGUUUCUAGACGGCCUCGCGCUGCGGGAGUGGCCGAUGUCGGAUUAGCUAGUUGGUGAGGUAAGGCUCACCAAGGCGACGAUCCGUAGCU
rnacentral:rRNA from 1 species